UCUUCAUCACCGAACGGCUCAUCUGGACCGCUUAGAGCAAAGUGAUUGAGCACAGGCCGGCACAGACGUUAUGACUGGGAACGUUAAAGGGCUUUCGUCCAAUGGCAGACUACAGCCCUGGAUCUUCAUUACUGCUAAAUUCCUCCUGAAACCCCUGAAGUCGUCCUGUCAGACAAAACAUCAGCUAAUUCACUGUUAGUGAGAAGCUUUUGGUUUCCAUUUCCCCGGCUGUUAGUGGAACAUGUGAGGAAAUGCUGCUUCUUCUGCCUCCUUGCACAUCGUCUUGUCCUGUGCUCUCUAGCAAACGUUCCCUCUGCGCCCCGCGGCAUUGAGCGGGGCAAGGAGCUUACUUUGAGGCUUGAUACCAACUGAAUGGACCUCAUGAAUACCGCUGCUUUCCACGGUCAUGGUGAAAUCUGGUCUGAAGAGAAAUGCAUGGUCAUUUCACACCUU